GAUGAACGCUGGCGGCGUGCCUAAUACAUGCAAGUCGAGCGAACAGACGAGGAGCUUGCUCCUCUGACGUUAGCGGCGGACGGGUGAGUAACACGUGGAUAACCUACCUAUAUGACUGGGAUAACUUCGGGAAACCGGAGCUAAUACCGGAUAAUAUAUUGAACCGCAUGGUUCAAUAGUGAAAGACGGUUUUGCUGUCACUUCUAGAUGGAUCCGCGCCGCAUUAGCUAGUUGGUAAGGUAACGGCUUACCAAGGCAACGAUGCGUAGCCGACCGGAGAGGGGGAUCGGCCACACUGGAACUUGGACACGGACCAGACGCCUACGGGAGGCAGCAGUAUGGAAUCUGCCGCAGUGGGCGAAAGCCUGACGGAGCAACGCCGCGUGAGAGAUGAAGGUCUUCGGAGCGUAAAACUCUGUUAUUAGUGAAGAACAAAUGUGUAAGUAACUAUGCACGUCUUGACGGUACCUAAUCAGAAAGCCACGGCUAACUACGUG
rnacentral:rRNA from 1 species